rnacentral:rRNA from 1 species
GGGAGGAACACCAGUGGCGAAGGCGACUUUCUGGACUGUAACUGACGCUGAGGCGCGAAAGCGUGGGGAGUAAACAGGAUUAGAUACCCUGGUAGUCCACGCCGUAAACGAUGAGUGCCAGGUGUAGAGGGUAUCGACCCCUUCUGUGCCGCAGUUAACACAAUAAGCACUCCGCCUGGGGAGUACGGUCGCAAGACUGAAACUCAAAGGAAUUGACGGGGGCCCGCACAAGCAGCGGAGCAUGUGGUUUAAUUCGACGCAACGCGAAGAACCUUACCAGGACUUGACAUCCCUCGCUAUAGGCAGAAAUGUUUAGUUCCCUUCGGGGACGAGGAGACAGGUGGUGCACGGUUGUCGUCAGCUCGUGUCGUGAGAUGUUGGGUUAAGUCCCGCAACGAGCGCAACCCUUAUCCCUAGUUGCCAGCGUGAAAGACGGGCACUCUAGGGAGACUGCCGGUGACAAACCGGAGGGAGGUGGGGAUGACGUCAAAUCAUCAUGCCCCUUAUGUCCUGGGCUACACACGUGCUACAAUGGGCUGUACAGAGGGAAGCAAUCCCGCGAGGGGGAGCAAAUCCCAUAAAACAGCUCUCAGUUCAGAUCGUAGGCUGCAACUCGCCUGCGUGAAGAUGGAGUUGCUAGUAAUCGCGGAUCAGCAUGCCGCGGUGAAUGCGUUCCCGGGCCUUGCACACACCGCCCGUC